rnacentral:rRNA from 1 species
GACGAACGCUGGCGGCGUGCUUAACACAUGCAAGUCGAACGGAAAGGCCUCUUUCGUGGGGUACUCGCGUGGCGAACGGGUGAGUAACACAUGAGUAACCUGCCCUUUACUUUGGGAUAACUUCUGGAAACUGGGGCUAAUACCGGAUAGAAGCUCCUGCUGCAUGGUGGGGGUUGGAGAGUUUCGGCGGUUGGGGAUGGACUCGCGGCUUAUCAGCUUGUUGGUGGGGUAGUGGCUUACCAAGGCUUUGACGGGUAGCCGGCCUGAGAGGGUGACCGGCCACAUUGGGACUGGGAUACGGCCCAGACGCCUACGGGAGGCAGCAGUGGGGAAUAUUGCACAAUGGGUGGAAGCCGGAUGCAGCAACGCCGGGGGCGGGAGGACGGCCUUCGGGUUGGAAACCGCUUUCGCUCAUGACGAAGCUUUGUGUGACGGUAGUGGGUAAAGAAGCACCGGCUAACUACGUG